rnacentral:lncRNA from 1 species
GCGUUGCAGAACUCAAGUCGAGUUGUAAAGAUGUAAAGGUUUAAACUCUAGCGCUGCUUAUAUAAAGUCUCGGGGUGUAGAUAUACAGUUAAUCGCAGUAGAUCUAAAAGUUAGCGCUGUAGAUAUUAAGUCAAUCGCUUCAGAUGUAAAUCCCAGCGCUGUAGAUCACACGUUCAGCGCUGUAGAUCACACGUUUAGCGCUGUAGAUGUUAUUCAGCGCUUGACAUUUAAAUUCAUGCGCUAGAGAUGUAAAAUAUAGUGCUGUAGAUCAAACGUCUAGUGCUGGUGACGUAGAUUCCAGUCCUGAAGAUUUAAAGUCCAGUGCUGUAGAUCAAACGUCUGUAGAUUUAUUAAAAUUCUUGUGCUGUUGAUAUGAAGUCCAGCGCAGUCCAUAUAAUGUACAUAUAUUGUAGAAAAAUUGUAUAUUAUUUAAGCCUAAUGAUGCCCUGUAGCUUUCUCUAUCUUAUUUGUAUCGGGGGUUAAUGUAUCGUUGACUUAAAGUCCACGUAUAUUUUUAUUCAUAUUGAUAGGAGCAAUGAAAAGG